rnacentral:misc_RNA from 1 species
ACAAACUUGGUCAUUUAGAGGAAGUAAAAGUCGUAACAAGGUUUCCGUAGGUGAACCUGCGGAAGGAUCAUUAACGAGUUGCGUUCGGGGUUGUUGCUGGCUCUUUGUUGAGCAUGUGCACACCUCGCAUCCACUUCAACCUCACCUGUGCACUUCAGAGGACUGCUCGGUCCUCUUUUACACACAAACCUUUAAUUGUCGUAGUAGAACGUUAUGUAUUAAACAAAUACAACUUUCAACAACGGAUCUCUUGGCUCUCGCAUCGAUGAAGAACGCAGC